rnacentral:rRNA from 1 species
GAUGAACGCUGGCGGCGUGCUUAACACAUGCAAGUCGAACGAUGAAGCUCAGCUUGCUGGGUGGAUUAGUGGCGAACGGGUGAGUAACACGUGAGUAACCUGCCCUUAACUCUGGGAUAAGCCUGGGAAACUGGGUCUAAUACCGGAUAGGAGCGUCCACCGCAUGGUGGGUGUUGGAAAGAUUUAUCGGUUUUGGAUGGACUCGCGGCCUAUCAGCUUGUUGGCGAGGUAAUGGCUCACCAAGGCGACGACGGGUAGCCGGCCUGAGAGGGUGACCGGCCACACUGGGACUGAGACACGGCCCAGACUCCUACGGGAGGCAGCAGUGGGGAAUAUUGCACAAUGGGCGCAAGCCUGAUGCAGCGACGCCGCGUGAGGGAUGACGGCCUUCGGGUUGUAAACCUCUUUCAGUAGGGAAGAAGCGAAAGUGACGGUACCUGCAGAAGAAGCACCGGCUAACUACGUG